AACGAACGCUGGCGGCAGGCCUAACACAUGCAAGUCAAACGGCCCUUCGGGGCAGUGGCGCACGGGUGCGUAACGCGUGGGAAUAUGCCCUUGAGUGCGGAAUAACGGCUGGAAACGGUCGCUAAUACCGCAUAAUGACUCCGGUCCAAAGAUUUAUCGCUCAAGGAUUAGCCCGCGUCAGAUUAGCUUGUUGGUGAGGUAAAAGCUCACCAAGGCGACGAUCUGUAGGGGGUCUGAGAGGAUGAUCCCCCACACUGGUACUGAGACACGGACCAGACUCCUACGGGAGGCAGCAGUGAGGAAUAUUGGACAAUGGGGGAAACCCUGAUCCAGCCAUGCCGCGUGUAUGAAGAAGGCCUUAGGGUUGUAAAGUACUUUCAAACGUGAAGAUAAUGACGGUAGCGUUAGAAGAAGCUCCGGCUAAAAUUCGUGCCAGCCGCCGCGGUAAU
rnacentral:rRNA from 1 species